UACGUAGGGGGCGAGCGUUGUCCGGAUUUAUUGGGCGUAAAGAGCGUGUAGGCGGCCAGGUAGGUCUGCUGUGAAAACUCGAGGCUCAACCUCGAGACGUCGGCGGAAACCAUCUGGCUAGAGUCCGGAAGAGGAGAGUGGAAUUCCCAGUGUAGCGGUGAAAUGCGUAGAUAUUGGGAGGAACACCAGUGGCGAAGGCGGCUCACUGGACCGGUUCUGACGCUGAUGCGCGAAAGCGUGGGGAGCAAACGGG
rnacentral:rRNA from 1 species